rnacentral:rRNA from 1 species
CCGGUUGAUCCUGCCGGACCUUACUGCUAUCGGGACGAGACUAAAACAUGCUAGUUGUGCGCACCCUAGCCACGUUGGGAGCGCAGCAAACGGCUCCGUAACACGUAGUCAAUCUAACCUUAGGACGAGGAUAACCCCCGGGAAACUGGGGCUAAUACUCGAUAGGCGAUAAAAGCCUGGAAUGGCAUUUCACCUAAAGGGUUUUAGUAACACGCUACUAAAACUGCCUAAGGAUGAGACUGCGGCCGAUCAGGUUGUUGGUGGGGUAACGGCCUACCAAGCCUAUGACCGGUACGGGCCCUGAGAGGGGGAGCCCGGAGAUGGGAACUGAGACAAGGUCCCAGACCCCACGGGGUGCAGCAGUUGCGAAACCUCCACAAUGCGCGAAAGCGUGAUGGGGUUAUCCCGAGUGCCGUCCGAUGAGGAUGGCUUUUUAUCGGUGUAAGGAUCCGAUAGAAUAAAGGGGGGGCAAGACUGGUGUCAGCCGCCGCGGUAAUACCAGCCCCCUGAGUGGUAAGGACGAUUAUUUGGCCUAAAGCGUUCGUAGCCGGCUUAUCAAGUCUUUUGUUAAAUCCAACGAUUCAAUCGUUGGGCCGCAAAAGAUACUGUUAUGCUAGAGGACGGGAGAGGUCGACGGUAGUCCAGGGGUAGGGGUGAAAUCCUAUAAUCCUUGGAGGACCACCAGUGGCGAAGGCGGUCGACUAGAACGUGCCUGACGGUGAGGGACGAAAGCUGGGGGAGCGAACCGGAUUAGAUACCCGGGUAGUCCCAGCUGUAAACGAUGCGGGCUAGGUGUUGGGGUAGCCACGAGCUGCUCCAGUGCCGCAGAGAAGUUGUUAAGCCCGCCGCCUGGGGAGUACGGCCGCAAGGCUGAAACUUAAAGGAAUUGGCGGGGGAGCACCACAAGGGGUGAAGGCUGCGGUUUAAUUGGAUUCAACGCCGGGAA